CCAGGCAGAGAAUAAAUCUGAAGAAGAUUCUAAAGAUGAAGGACAUCACCAACCUGGAGCUCCUUCAAAUGUCCAAAAAGAUCAUUGAUUGGGUAAUUAUUGCAUCCAGAGAUGUGGUUCUCCCAGCUGUGGACUUGUACCAGGCCAUCACAAAUGACCUGUACAAAAGGUACACCCAGAAGGACCUCCAUCAUCAGUGGCUAGGCCUAGGGGAUGGCUGUAUGUCCAGUGCAGUGAAUCAUAUGGUAGUGGUCAAUGCCGCUAACAUAUUUAAUGCCCUAGUCUGCAUGACAAGGACCAACAGGAAGGAACCAGAAGACUCAGAUGAGAGCGGCCUCGCCUACUCUGGACAAUCUACACCGUGUGACCCACCACUUGCUAGCCACAGGAAAAGCAAUCUGCUCUUCUGUAGCCGAAUUCGUGUCAACGCUAGAGAGCUGAUCCGUCACAUUUACCAGAUGCUCCUCGAUUCUCGCUUGGGAAGCAUGUACUUAUCCCAAAGCUGGUGGACAAUGAUGCCUCCAGAUUUGGCUGCCAAAAGGAACCUUGAGUUUCUUUCUGACUUGCUUUUCAACUUCAUUGUAUACGCAGUGAAAAAUCUCCUCGAGUCAUUCUUAGGAUUGCCCCACAAGAUACCAUUCAAUAGCUCAAUGGAGCGGAGCCUUGAGAGCAGGCCAGCUGUCUCCAACACCAUGUCAGAGGAGGAGGAGGAGGCACUUGAGGCCCUGUCUGAAGUGUUGAUCAGUAGGGUGGCUGACAUGCUCUCUAGCACCUCUGAAACUCAGCAGAGUGCCAAUAACGCCAUUGGAAAAGGUAUCUUUUCAUUUAAAGAUUUGUCGUCUGAGGACAGUGCAGUCACAACUGAGGCUGUCCAUGAAGAUCCAAUCAUCUAUGACGAUGACCUAGAGGGGUACACUUCCGCACUCCAGAUGGGUGGGACUCCGACAGCCUGCAGGAGCCCUUGCACUUCAGAUGGUCUAGACUCUACAACAACUCUCAGUGCUCAGUCUCUUGAAGCAGACACUGGGCUUUUAAAGCUAUGCAGGAACGAAGAUGGCAGACACUGUCAUCAGCGCGAGUACAUCGGGGUGUCUGAGAACGGAUCACUGGAUGGAUCUUGCUCAGACCAGGGUUCAGCCAGUACAACCUCAGCACAGAGCAGCUCUACGUCAGUGUCUGUACCUCCAGGUGGCCGUGCUUUCACACUGAAGGAGAGCGGUCAGACUCCCUAUGAGCUUUCGAGUCAGACUAGUGACCACUCCUUAAGCACCUUUCAGCAAAAAUCUUUUGAGGUGAGAAAAUGGAUUUGGCAGAGAAAUACUUUCUUAAUCAUUUCUACUAUGUGAGUGAAUGGCAAUAUCGCAGAUUCAACGUGAAGCAAUUGUUACAAAUAUUUCAAUCGGAAUUUUUAUCCAUUUCUUCAAACUAAAGCUCCAUUAGAAAUGUCAACAUGGGCUGUAAAGUGUCAAUACAUAACUAAAGUAUGUUUA
rnacentral:lncRNA from 1 species